AAAAACACAGAAAAUGAGAUUGAAGGAAAGUAUUUGAAUACCCCUUGCACUGAUUCCUUUGCAUAUUGAGCAGCAUUACCAGCUUUGUCCAUCAUGGUAGGACUGGUCUUCUCCUGAAACAAACAAAAUCCAUGCCUUAUCAUGUAUUGGAAGAGAAAUAUCAUUGUGUUCUUGAGCACAAGCUACUGUAGAGGUGAGGAUGAAUUCUCUAAAAAAAAAAACAUAGAAAUGAGAUUGAAGGAGAGUAUUUGAAUACCCCCUGCACUGAUUCCUUCGCAGAUUGAGCAGCAUUACCAGCUUUGUCCAUCAAGGUACUGGCCUUCUCCUGAAACGAACAAAAUCCAUGCCUUCUCAUGUAUUAGAACAGAAAAAUCAAGCAGAUUCAUGAAUUAAAAGGAAGAAAUAAAAAUAAUUCAGAGGCUGACCUGAACUUGACCCUUGGCCUCACCAGCUUGGAAGCUCAUCUUCUGGGUAUUGUCAGCCAUCUUUGGUUUCUGAUUUCUUUAAAAGAUUUGGAAGAACUCAAAUAAAUUCUCAGAUUCUUGAAAAAACAAAACUCUUGGUAGUAAAGGAAUGCCAUGGCAGCCAUAAUUUAUACUGAUUAAAACCAGUCCAUUGCUGGACACGUGCAAUGCCACGUGUCAAGCUAGAGAUUGCUUGGAAUAUCAUCCGUUAUUGAGGUUGAGAUUUUGGGGGCCUUUGACCAGGGGGGUUGUGAAUUUUAUGAAUAAUUCAUGCGCUAACUUUCUUUGUUUGUUUUUUUUUUUUUAAAUAAAAAAAUUCUUUGGAUUUUUUUUUAAGACAUUCAUGUAAGUGGUGUCCAAAUUUCAUUAGACAAGUGAGAAAAAACAUGUUUAGUUUAUGUGAAUAAUAUGAAAAAAAAAACCCUUGUAGAUUUAUUUAUCAAAAUACCGAGAUUUUAUUUGAAUGGUUCAUUUAAAAUAUGCUUUAAAGAUAAAAAUGGAUUUUUGUUUAGAAAAUAAUGCUUUUAAUUUAUAAAAUAUCUUGAUUUUAGGUUCAUCAUUGAUUUUAUGAUUGUUUAUUCAUAAAUUAUUAAAUAAAAUAUAAUUUUAAAAAAUAUAAUAUCGAGUUAAGAGUUUUUAAAUUUGAUUUACUAAAUCAGAUUUAAUAAUAAUACCAAAAAAAUUAUGGUGACUUCAAUAUAUUUUUAUUUUUUUUUAAUUUGAUAUGUAGUAUAGCAAAAAAAGUUACUUACUAGGUCCCAUUAUAUAUGUUGUCUAUUUACAGGAUUACAAAUUUUGAGUAGCUUUUUAUAUAGGGGAGGUGCUGCUAAUUGUUUUUUAAAAAAAAAACUGAAAUUGUUAUCCCCCUAAAUCUGUGUAGAUGCCUAGGAGAAAAUCAAUUGUACAUUAUAAGGACAAGAUCACUGCUACUUCUUCUAAUAACGCUAAUGACAACCACGAGUCAUUAGAUGUCCACCAAAAAGAGACACUUGAGAUGCAAGCAUCGACUCACGACUUUGCCUCGUCGAGUGCAAUGUUGCAAUGUAGAGGGGGUCCCUUCACAAUGAGAUUCCUACAUAGUGGGAUCCAUUCACCUACAAAUACGAGACUCAAUCGAAAGACGACAUUUUAAUAUAAGUUUGCUUUGCUUUCACAACGACAUGUUUAAUAAUACCAUAAAAAUAAUUUUUCAUUAAAUUUAUUCAAUUUCAAGUUUAUAAACAAUGAGAUUGCCCGAACAAGAACUUGACAUUUAAAUCGUCGAUGAAAAUUUCAUUGUUUCAAUGAAGCCAAGUUUCCAAACAUUCUAAAUGAAAACCGCAUGAUGAUGCAUGGUUUUUAAGGUUUAAGGUUAGUAUUAACUUAAUAUUUUUUUUAUUAUGUUAAUUUGUUUACUUUAUUGAAAUUAUUAAAAAAAUUCUUUUUAUAAAUGUUUAUUGCAAGGAAAAAUUUGAAUUGGAUAUAGCUAAUGAUAAUGUUGCGAGGAGGGUUUGGAAGAAUUACGUUGCAAUUACAUAACAUCGAAAUCAAGAUAAUUUUUUAUUCAAAAUAUUAAAAUUUUAUUUGUCAUUUACUUAAAGAUAAUUUGUUUGUAUUAUAUGAGUUGUGUGAUUUUUGGUACGAGGUGCAAAAGAAAUCAAAAAAAUAUGCGAAAGAAAGCGAUCUACCAUACUAGAAUGAUAUGACGGUUUGAAAGGAUUUCAAGUCGCCAUAUAUCUUUGAGACUAUAUAGGCGGAAUACAUUCAGCAUGUGAUGUCCAUGCAUAUCACGUGAUGGUCACAGUUUGGUGCCGGGAACCGAAGCUGACAAAUUAACGGUUCUGUUAUCAUGCACACCGGCGGUUCCGUUCUGUUUAUUUUUAAAUGCGAAGAGGAUAGUAAGAUUUUUUUUAAUUGCAUCCAUUUUUUAAUUUGUUGUUUUUUAUAAAUAUAUUUAACUGGCAAUAUUUUUAUCUUGCAUUCAACGGUUCUUAGACAUGAGCCAAACGCAGUGAAGUUUUAUGUGGAAACACAUGUGUGAAGUGAUGGCCGCAAAAAAAAUAAAAUGCAAUAGUUCGUAGAUAGCCAAUCUCAAUGCUUUGUGGUAUGUUGGUUUUCAAUAAUUUUGUUUUAGUUAUUAUCUACUUGAAUUUGAUGAAUUUAUUGUUUAUUUUCAGGAGACAUAUAGCAGUCGGUUAAAAAAAAAUAUAUGGACAAUUCUUCUACCCAUUCAGAUAUCGAUCCAAAUUUAUGAUUGAAGGUAAAAUUAUCUGGUACACUCGAUAAAAAUCAGUUAUACAAACUCUCUAACACUAUAAACAAAAACUUAUAAACAACCUAUAAUAUUUCAGUCAUUGAAUGCUUACAAUUAAUCCAGAGCACUUAAUCAACCAUGGGAUACAAUAACGUAGACCCAUCUCAAUUAAUAAAAAAUAUGAACGACUGCAACUCCUCUCAACUGUCGCAGUGUAUUUUAAAAAGGAGAGAGAGGCCACUUUGUUCACGAAUGUAGCCACCCUUCUCAACUCCUCUCCCUGAAACAGCCCCUCCCUUCUCGCCACCUCCCUGUUCCCGAAUCUACCAACCUUCUCCACCUCAUCUCAGAAACUGCUCCUUUUUUUUCAUCGACUCCGCCGCAACCUCUCAAGUCCUCUAUAAAAAAAACAGCUCCUCCUUUCUGGCUUCCCUCAUUCUCGGAUCUAGCCAUCCUUUCCACCCCCCUCUCGAAAAAGGCUUCUCUCUUUUCGCUGCCCCUUGUUUCUUAUGUUAAAAAAAUUUGUAACUGAUAUCAUUAUCGGAAGCAACGUUGCAUAAAAAACUAGCUAGUUAAGUAAUUUGUUAGAGAAAUGCCGCUUGUCUUCCUUGAGCAUCUUAUUGCCAGAAUCUCAAGCAUUUUUUAUGAACAUGGAUUCACCUUCUUACUUCUGCCUGUGAAUUGUAAUGCGGGAAGGAAAAACGUUAAGUCUAAUAAUCAAAUACAAUUAGCAGUGAAUUAAUAGCAAAGUACAGAUAUAUAGGGCCAUCUGGACAUGCAGGAUCCCAUGAAGAUGAAGGAAUGUUGUGCUCUCAUAAACUGAGACAAAAGAUCUUCAAACAAGUACGAAAAUGAAGUAAAAUUUCACUAAUUAAGGCAACAUCUGCCUGCAAACAUCGAUCACGAGGGAGCUACAGAGAGAGCUCUCUUCUUUAUACAAAAGGAAAUGGCAGAAACAAAACAACAGAUGAACAUUGCAUUCAAUUUCUAAAUUGCUAUAGACAAUUAUUGGACUGCUCCAUUCAGCUACUUCAUUUGUUCAUGCCAGUUGCAUUCUUCACUCCUUCAACAGCUGCCUGUGCCGUAGACAUCACCUGUUCACCAGCCUACACCAAGAACAAGUAUCAUAAUUAAAUUACACAUCUGUUCGUUUUAUUCUUGAGCACAAGCUAUAUAUUGUAGUGGUGAGGAUGAAUUCUCUGGGGAAAAAAACACAGAAAAUGAGAUUGAAGGAGAGUAUUUGAAUACCCCUUGCACUGAUUCCUUUGCAUAUUGAGCAGCAUUACCAGCUUUUUCCAUCAAGGUAGGACUGGUCUUCUCCUGAAACAAACAAAAUCCAUGCCUUAUCAUGUAUUGGAAGAGAAAUAUCAUUGUGUUCUUGAGCACAAGCUACUGUAGAGGUGAGGAUGAAUUCUCUAAGAAAAAAAACAUAGAAAAAGACAUUGAAGGAGAGUAUUUGAAUACCCCUUGCACUGAUUCCUUUGCAGAUUGAGCAGCAUUACCAGCUUUGUCCACCAAGGUACUGGCCUUCUCCUGAAACGAACAAAAUCCAUGCCUUCUCAUGUAUUAGAACAGAAAAAUCAAGCAGAUUCAUGAAUUAAAAGGAAGAAAUAAACAAAUUUCACAGGCUGACCUGAACUUGGCCCUUGGCCUCACCAGCUUGGAAGCUCAUCUUCUGGGUAUUGUCAGCCAUCUUUGGUUUCUGAUUUCUUUAAAAGAUUUGGAAGAACUCAAAUAAAUUCUCAGAUUCUUGAAAAAACAAAACUCUUGGUAGUAAAGGAAUGCGAUGGCAGCCAUAAUUUAUACUGAUUAAAACCAGUCCAUUGCUGGACACGUGCAAUGCCACGUGUCAAGCUAUAGAUUGCUUGGAAUAUCAUCCGUUAUUGAGGUUGAGAUUUUGGGGGCCUUUGACCAGGGGUGUUGUGAAUUUUUGAAUAAUUCAUGUGCUAACUUUCUUUCUUUGUUUGUUUUUUAUUUUAUUCAAAAAAAAAUUCUUUCGGUUUUUUUUCAAGACAUUCAUUUAAGAAAGGAUCAUGAUUAGUUUAUGUGACUAAUUUGAAGAAACACUCUUGAAUAUUUAAUUAACAUAAACUUUAUUGUUUUAGAUUUGCUGAUCAAAAUACUGAGAUUUUAUUUGAAUUUUUUUAUUUAAAUUUUGCUUUAAGACAAUAAUGGAUUUUUUAUAGAUAAUAGUGCUUUCAAUUUACAAAAUAUCUUGAUAUUAGGUUCAUCAUUGAUUUUAUAAUUGUUUAUUUUUCAUAUUAUUAAACAAAUAUAGUUUUUAAAAAUAUAAUGUCAAGUUAAGAUUUUUCUAGUUUAAUUUAUUGAAUCGAAUUUAAUAAUCAUAUAAAAAAUUUAUCAUGACUUGAAUAUAUUUUUAAUUUAAUUCGUCGAAAGAAGUUACUUACUAGGUCCAUUAUAUAUGUUGUCUAUUUGCAGGAUUAAAAAUUUUAGGUAGCUUCCUGUAUAGAUGAGGUGUUGCCGAAUUUUUUUAAAAAAAUUGAAAUUGUGCCCCCCUCAAAAAAAAAAAAAUGUGUAGAUGCCUUGAGGAAAAUCAAUUGUACACCAUGAGAACAAGAUCACUACUAGUUCUUCUAAUAAUGAUAGUGACAAUCAUAAGUCAUUAGGUGUCGACCAAUAAGAGACACUUGAGACGCAAGCAUCGACUCACGACCUUGCCUUAUCAAGUGCAAUGCCGCAAUGUCGAGGGGUCCCUUCACAGUGGGAUCCAUUCACACCGCAUGUAUAAGGCCCAAUGGAAAGGCAACAUUUCAAUGUAAGUUUGUUUGCUUUUACAAUGACAUGUUUAAUAAUAUCGUAAAAACCGUAUUUCAUUAAAUUUAUUCAAUUUCAUGUUUACAAACAUUGAGGCUGCCCAAACAAUAACUCAACAUUUAAAUCAUCAAUGAUAAUUUCAUUUUUUCAAUGGAACGAGGUUUCCAAACAUCCUAAAUGAAAACCGGAAGUCGAUGCUUGGUUUUCAAGGUUUAAGAUUAAUAUUAACUUAAUUUUUUUUAUUAUUUUAAUUUGUUUGCUUUAUUGAAAUUACUAAAAAAUUUCUUUUUAUAAAUUUUUAUUGCAAGGGAAAAUUUGAAUUGGAUAGAGCUAAUGAUAAUGUUGCGAGGAAGGUUUGGAAGAAUUACGCUACAACUAAGUAACAUCGAAAUCAUGAUAAUUUUUUAAUUCAAAAUAUUAAAAUUUUAUUUGUCAUUUACUUAUAGAUAAUUUGUUUGUAUCAUACAGGUCGCAUGAUUUUUAUACAAGGUACAAAAGAAAUCCAAAGAAUAUACGAAAGAAAGUGAUCUACCAAGUUGAAAUGACAUGGCGAGUAGGACGGAUUUUAGGCCACCAUACAUAUUGAAGACUAUAUGGGUGGAAUACAUUCAGCAUGUGAUGUCCGCGCGUAUCAUGCAACAGUCACAGUUCAGUGCUGGGAACUGGAGCUGAAAAAUUCAUGGUUAUGUUAUCACACACAUCGGCGGCUCCGUUUCGAUCAUUUUCACAUGAAAAGAGGAUAGUAAGAUUUUUUUUAAUUGCAUCCAUUUUUUAAUUGAUUGUUUCUUAUAAAUAUAUUUAACUGGCAACAUUUUUAUUUUGUAGGCUACAGUUCUUGGACAUGAGCCAAGUCCAAUUGAGCUUUUUGUGGAAACACACGUGUGAAGUGAUGACUGCCAAAAAGAAAUGCAACAAUUCGUAGAUAGCCAAGCUCAACAUUUUGUAGUAUAUUUGUUUUCAACCCUUUUUUAAAAAAAUUAUUAUUUACUUGAAUUUGAUGAAUUUGUUUUUUAUUUUCAGGAGACAUAUAACAGCCGGUUAAAAGAGAGAUACAUGGACGAUUCUUCUACCCAUCCAGAUAUCGAUCUAGAUUUAUAGUUGAAGGUAAGAUCAUUUGGUGCCCUUGAUAGAAAUUGGGUAUGUAGACUCUUUAACACUAUGACCAAGAACUUGCAGGCGAACUAUACUGUGUCAACCGUUAGAUGCUCACAAUCGGUCCCGAACACUUAAUCUCUAGAGUUCACAACCUUGUUAGAUCAAGGAGUACAUGAACAUACGAUCCAUUUCCAUGAAAAUAUGAACGAAUCUCUAUGGAUUAUGAAAAACUCUGUAGAUUGGUAAUGAAGAUAAGAUCACAUAUAGGUGAUACAUGUGCACCUUAUUAUUGUCCCCAUGGUCUCGACGACAACUAGCAUUCUCCUCCUCCACCUCAAGCACCAUCUCUAAUCUAAUUUUAUUAUAUUUGAACAUAUAAAUGUUUAAAUUUGUAAUAAAUAUUUGAUUUUUAUAUUAAAAUAAUCUAUUUUUAAAUAUUUCAAUUUUAUAUUAAUUUAAUUUUUUAGCUAUUUUGUAUUUUAGUUUAGUAGAUUUUUUAAAAAAUAUUUUUAAAUUAUUAUUGAUGGGGUUGCUAAUAGACUUAUUUCGUCGGUAUAUUCCAGAGAGUUGGAAAAAAAUUACAGCAAAUGUCAAUGCUACUAUUAACUUACCAACGAAAUCAGUAUGUCAGUAUAUUCUAGAGAGUUGAAAAAACAUUACUGCAAAUGUCACUGUAACUUUUAACUCACUAAUGGAAUAAGCUCGUUAAUAUAUUUUAGAGAGUUGGAAAAGAGUUACAGUAAAUGGCACUGCAACUAUUAACUCAAUAAUGAAAUUACAUAUAAUUCUCAUGUUGGUGAUAUGUUAAAUUGUACCGAGAGAAUGAUUGGUGUAAUGAAACGGAUAAUUUUUUUUUCACGCACAUAUUCCAUCUAUAAAAUCAUCAAUGAACUUAUUGAAAGAUAAAAAAUUACAUAUAAAUAUUUUUCUAACAUAUAUUUUUUAUUCAUGACUGUGUUGAUAAAAUAAUUACAGACGAAUUGUUGGUCUAAAUACUGUGAAAUAUUCUUGUGGUGAGAAGCAUGAAAUGAUUCAUCAGUGUUAAUGUCAACCUCUGAGUAGAACAAGCUGUUAAAUGGAGACAGAUUGACCAACUCUUUGUAUCUACUAUGCUCAAUAAAAUCCUACAAACAAAAUAAAAAACAAUUUGUUUGGGGAUUUUAUCUAAUUUGGUGGGCUUGCCUUAUUUUGUUAAUUAAAAGGUAAUAGAUACAUUAAAAAAAACAACACAAAUUAAAACCUGCUUAUAAUUUAGAAAAAAACCACCUGUCUUUCAUUUUUAACAACAUAGAAAUUGCACCACCACUGUCGCAGUGUAUUUUAAAAAGGAGAGGCCACUUUGUUCACGAAUGUAGCCACCCUUCUCAACUCCUCUCCCAGAAACAGCCCCUCCCUUCUCGCCACCUCCCUGUUCCCAAAUCUACCAACCUUCUCCACCUCUCAAGUCCUCUAUAAAAAGACAGCUCCUCCUUUCUGGCUUCCCUCAUUCUCGGAUCUAGCCAUCCUUUCCAUCCCCCUCUCGAAAAAGGCUUCUCUCUUUCGCUACCCCUUGUUUCUUAUGUUAAAAAAAUUUGUAACUGAUAUUAUUAUCCGAAGCAACGUUGCAUCAAAAACUAGGUAAUUUGUUAAGUAAUUUGUUAGAGAAAUGCCGCUUGCCUUCCUUGAGCAUCUUAUUGCCAGAAUCUCAAGCAUUUUUAUGAACAUGGAUUCACCUUCUUACGUCUGCCUGUGAAUUGUAAUGCGGGAAGGAAAAACGUUAAGUCUAAUAAUCAAAUACAUUUAGCAGUGAAUUAAUAGCAAAGUAUAGAUAUAGAGGGCCAUCUGGAUAUGCAGGAUGCCAUGAAGAUGAAGGAAUGUUGUACUCUCAUAAACUGAGACAGAAGAUCUUUAAACAAGUACGAAAAUGAAGUAAAAUUUCACUAAUUAAGGCAACAUCUGCCUGCAAACAUCGAUCACGAGAGAGCUACAGAGAGAGCUCUCUUCUUUAUACAAAAGGAAAUGGCAGAAACAAAACAACAGAUGAACAUUGCAUUCAAUUUCUAAAUUGCUAUAGACAAUUAUUGGACUGAUCCAUUCAGCUACUUCAUUUGUUCAUUCCAGUUGCAUUCUUCACUCCUUCAACAGCUGCCUGUGCCGUAGACAUCACCUGUUCACCAGCCUACACCAAGAACAAGUAUCAUAAUUAAAUUACACAUCUGUUCGUUAUUUUCUUGAGCACAAGCUACUGUAGUGGUGAGGAUGAAUUCUCUGGGGAAAAAACACAGAAAAUGAGAUUGAAGGAAAGUAUUUGAAUACCCCUUGCACUGAUUCCUUUGCAUAUUGAGCAGCAUUACCAGCUUUGUCCAUCAUGGUAGGACUGGUCUUCUCCUGAAACAAACAAAAUCCAUGCCUUAUCAUGUAUUGGAAGAGAAAUAUCAUUGUGUUCUUGAGCACAAGCUACUGUAGAGGUGACGAUGAAUUCUCUAAAAAAAAAACAUAGAAAUGAGAUUGAAGGAGAGUAUUUGAAUACCCCUUGCACUGAUUCCUUUGCAGAUUGAGCAGCAUUACCAGCUUUGUCCAUCAAGGUACUGGCCUUCUCCUGAAACGAACAAAAUCCAUGCCUUCUCAUGUAUUAGAGCAGAAAAAUCAAGCAGAUUCAUGAAUUAAAAGGAAGAAAUAAACAAAUUUCACAGGCUGACCUGAACUUGGCCCUUGGCCUCACCAGCUUUGAAGCUCAUCUUCUGGGUAUUGUCAGCCAUCUUUGGUUUCUGAUUUCUUUAAAAGAUUUGGAAGAACUCAAAUAAAUUCUCAGAUUCUUGAAAAAACAAAACUCUUGGUAGUAAAGGAAUGCCAUGGCAGCCAUAAUUUAUACUGAUUAAAACCAGUCCAUUGCUGGACACGUGCAAUGCCACGUGUCAAGCUAUAGAUUGCUUGGAAUAUCAUCUGUUAUUGAGGUUGAGAUUUUGGGGGCCUUUGACCAGGUGGGUUGUGAAUUUUGUGAAUAAUUCAUGUGCUAACUUUCUUUGUUUGUUUGACAAAAUAAACAAAUAAUUCAAUUAAAAAAUUAAAGAAUCCAAAAUCUGGAACCCAACUCUUAAUAGAAACCAACAUUUUCAUACAUGUAAGUGUUGUCCAAAUUUUAUAAGACAAUUGAGAAAAAAAAGAUUUAGUUUAUGUGACUAAUAUGAAAAAACUUCUUGAAUAUUUAAUUAGCAUAAACUUGAUUUUUUUUAGAUUUGUUUAUUAAAUAUUUUUAAUAUUUUUUAAUUAUAUACAAAUUACCGAGAUUUUAUUUGAAUGUUCCAUUUAAAAUUUGUUUUCAAAAUUAUAAUGGAUUUUUAUUUAGAAAAUAAUGCUUGUAAUUUAUAAAAUAUCCUAAUAAUAGAUUAAUUAUUGAUUUUAUGAUUAUUUUUUAUUAUAUUAUUAAAUAAAAUAUAAUUUUAAAAAAUAUAAAAUCAGUUAAAAAUUUUUAAGUUUGAUUUACUUGAUAAAAUUUAAUAAUAAUUUUAAAAAAAUUCUCAAAUACUUUUUUUUAUUUAAUUUGAUGUAGCAUAAAAGUUAUGUUUAUUGGAAGUUCUAGUCAUUGGUAGGUUUGACUGAGUCUUUAGGAAUUUGUUAUUUGAUUUAGCGGCUGAGAAAGUGUCUUCUUCAUGAUAUUAUUUAGAGGAAUUGUGGUGAGUGCGUUCUAAUGUAAAGUCUAUUAAUAGGUCUUUUUUUUUUUCAUUGUCAAGAACAUAGCUUUCUCUUUCAACAAGUCUCUUUUGUUAUUUUUCUUUAUUUAGUAAUAGUGGUAGCAUAGCCGGGUUAGUGAGAUAAAAGCAAAAGAGAAAAAGUUCUCAAAUAGUGAGUCUCCAAAAUAGUUCAAAUAGCAGUAGCUCUUUUUUCCUCAUAUUUAUAUCUUGCAGAAAACGAGGUACUUAAAUUCCAAUUUUGUGCAAGCAGUAAUCCCACAUUUUAAUGUUCAUUAUAACCAUUGGAGUAUGUUAAUUGGGAACUUUCUUCGAUCAAAAAAAUAUUGGUCGAUUAUUGAAUCUGGAAUUGAAGAAUUAGCAACAACUGCAGUCUUGAUAGAUGCCCAGAAAACAUAGUUGGAAAAGAGAAAACUUAAAUAUUUGAAGGCAAAAAAUUAGAGAAAGCUUAAAUAUUUGAAGGCAAAAAAUUAUCUUUGUCAUGCAAUUGAUUGUCCCAUCUUGGAAAUAAUUCUUAGCAAAGAAACUAGGAUAUGUGAGAUUCCAUGAAAAAAAAAAAAUCAAGGUUCUACUAGAGUAAAGCAUGUACAGCUUCAAGUCUUGAGACGAGACCCUACAUAUGAAGGUUGGAGAAUAUGUCACCAACUAUUGUGCCAUAAUUAUGGAGAUAAACAACAAAAUGCGAUUUUCAUGGUGAGAAGAUGGAUGAUGGUGUUAUUGUUGAAAAGAUAUUGCAUUCUUUAACAAUAAAAUAUGAUUAUGUUGUAUGUUUGAUUGAAGAAUCAAAAGACAUAAAUACACUCUUUCUUGAUGAACUGUAAAGCUCUUUUUAGUCAAUGAACAAAAGAUGAAUUGAAGUUCAAAUACAAACGAGCAAGCUUCAAAGGCUUUUACCUUUACUCAGUUCUCAAAUUUUAGAGGAAGAGGUAAAGGUAAAGAAAAGGGAGGUAGAGGUAAUAAAGAUGGCAACAUACAAUACUUUAAGGCUGGUGAUGAUCAAUAUCAAGGCAGAGACAGAGGACAGGUUCAACACUUUAACAAAUCUAAGGUAGAGUGUUUCAAAUGUCAUAAAUUUGAACAUUAUCAUUCUAAGUGUUAUGCUAGGCUACCUAAUGACAAAGCAAAGGAGAGCAAUUGUAUUUUGCUGAAAAACAAAUCCAUCUUCUAAUGGAGGUAAAAGAUAUUUAAUUACCUUCAUUGAUGCUUUUCCUCGAAAAACUUGGGUUUAUUUUUUACAGCAAAAAUCAAAAGCUCUAUGUGUAUUUUAAAGCUUUAAGGCUCAUGUGGAGAAUGAAACAUGAGAGAUUGUUAAGACCCUUCGAACAAUUAUGGUGGAGAAUAUUGCUCAACCGAAUUUGAAGUUUUUUGUAUGGAUCAUGGCAUUCAAAGGGAACUCACAGCUACUUAUACACCACAAUAAAAUGGUGUAUCAGAGCAAAAAAAAAAAAGUCUAUUGUAGUAGCUCGAUCUCUUCCUCGUAUUCGAAAAAGGCCUGCAUAGAGGGAAGACUAUAAGGUAACUCGAAUUGAAGAUCCAAUCACUCACUUUGCUUUAUUUUCAGAUUGUAAUCCUACAACCUUUGAAAAUGCUGUCAAAAAAGCAAAAUGGAGGAAGGCGAUGGAUGAUGAAAUUGAUGCCAUUGAAAGAAAUGACAAUUGGGAGCUGACUGAUAUUUCGAAAGCACAUAAAACCAUUAGUUUAAAGUGGGUUUUCAAAACAAAACUAAAAUAACAUGGUAAAGUUGAUAAAUAUAAGGCACGUUUGAUAGCUAAGGGAUAUAAACAAGAAUAUAGGAUCGAUUAUAUAGAAGUUUUUGCUCCCGUUGGAAGACAUGAUACAAUCAGAUUGGCGGCGUAGAACUUGUGGCCUAUUUUCCAAUUGGAUGUCAAAUCAACAUUCUUGCAUUAAAACUUGAAAGAACAAGUAUUUGUAGAACAACCUUUUGGUCAUAUUAAGAUCAUAAAUGAGCAUAAAGUUUAUAGAAUAAAUAAAGCUCUUUAUGGAUUAAAACAAGCUUCACGAGCUUGGUAUAAUCACAUUGAUACUUAUUUUUUGAAAGAAGGCUUUCACAAAUGUCCAUAUGAGCACGUACUAUUUGUUAAAAUUGAAGAUAAGGAGAAAUUGCUCAUUGUUUACUUAUAUAUAGAUGAUCUUAUAUUUACUAGAAAUGAUGUUGUUAUGUUUAAGGAAUUCAAGAAAUAUAUGAUGAUUGAAUUUGAAAUGUUUGACCUUGGUAUGAUGCAUUAUUUUCUUGGUAUAGAAGUAGUGCAAUCCGCUAAUGGGAUAUUUAUUUCUCAAAAUAAGUACGUGUAAGAUAUUUUGGACAAGUUUCAAAUAAGGGAUUGCAAUUCUAUUAGCACUCCAACUAAAUUUGGCUUGACGUUAAACAAAGAUCAUGAAAGGAAAGAAGGUGGAUAACACAUUUUACAAAGCAAAUUGUUGGCAGUUUGAUGUAUUUAACUACAACAAGACCAGACAUAAUGUAUUUUGUGAGCUUAAUUAGUAAGUAUGUGGAGAAUCCAACAGAAAUGCAUUUGUUUGGAGCCAAGAGGAUCCCUCGUUACUUGCAAGGAACUAAAGAUUUUGGGUUGUUCUACAAGAAGGGCGAAAAGUAGUUGUUUAGGUUCUUUAACAAUGAUUAUUCAUGAGAUCAAACUGAUAAAAAAGCACUUCGGGUUAUGUGAGUUAUUUUUAUGUUGGGCACAGGUGUUGUUUCAUGGUCUUUAAGAAGCAACAAAUUGUCAUCUUAUUAACAAAUUGUCUGAAUUUAUUGUUGCCAUAGCUUGUGCUUGUCAAGCUAUCUAGUUAACAAGAAUUCUUGAAGAACUACAAUUCUAGCAAAUUAAGGUUACUAGUUUUUUAUGAUAACAACUCAGUGAUUAAACCUUCAAGAAUCUAGUAAACGGAAGACAACCAUAUCAAUGUUAAAUAUUAUUAUUUUAAGAGAUCUAAGUCUGGUUUAUCAUCGAAGUGAAGACCAAAUUAUAGAUAUACAGGCCAAGUCUCUCAAAUUUGCUAUAUUUGUUAAAUUACAUAAUCUACUUGGAGUUUGUUCAUGUUCUAAAGUGAACGAGAAUUUUACAGAGGAUUGAUUUUCCUUUUAAACUGAUAUAUGUAGAUUUCAGUUUAAUAAAGAGUGUUAAGAGUUAAGUGUUUUAUUUAAUGUUUAUUGAAAGUUCUAGUCUUUGGUACGUUUGACAAAGUCUUUAGAAAUUUAUUAUUUAAUUUAGUUGCUGAAAUGUACGAUGCUAUUUUAUUAUGAUGAAUGCGUUCUGAUAUAAAACCUAUUUAUAAUUUAUUUAUUUUAUUCUCAAGAAUAGAGUUCUUUUUUAACACGUCUCUUUUUUUAUUUUUACGUACUAGGUCCCACUAAACACAGUGUGUCGGAAUGAUUAUUACGGAGGUGACUGGAGUUGUCAGAAACCUGAUAAAGGCUAAGGACUGUCCGUUGUUCAUUGAUGACAAAGGUACGGAUGUGAGCUAUUAUUGGCCACAUAUCUACUUCAUUAUUAUUAUUAUUAUUAUUAUUAUUUAACUUUUGACUAGAUUACAAAUAUAUAUUAUACGUUUUCCUAUUUUUCUUUGGAAGUCAUACAAACUUGUAUAUUUUAUUUAUCUUUUUCUCACAACAAAAAUUAGUUAUAUUAUAUUUUCUAUUAUAAAAAAACAAAGAAAACAUUUACAAAAAAAGUACCAUAUUAAUAUUAAAACAUAAAAAAGGAAAGAUUCCUUGAUAGAAAAACAAACCAUGAAAAAAUAAUAUUAAUUAAUAUUUUUUUAGACUUUAAUCUUUGUUCUGUAAACUCACAACAUAUUUUUUAUGUAACAAAAUUAAUAUGUGGAACUUAUUUUGUCUUCUUUCAAGCACGUCCAUCCUAUUAGGAAAAUCUAAUUUUUUUUCCGACACAUUAAAAUUAUAAUUUCGUUAAAAUAAUAUAGUUCACAUCAAAAUUGAUUUAAUUUGGUGAUUAGAAAAUAAAAAUAUGUAUGAAAAAAAUUUAAUAAUAUAAAGAUAUAAUUAUCCGAAGCAGCAACUUCUCAUAAAAGACUAGUUUGUUAAGAAAUUUCUCAGAGAAAGCAUCUUAAGGCCAGAAUCUUAAGCAUUUUUUAUGAACAUGGAUUCAUCACCUUCUGAUGUUUGCCUGUGAAUUUGUAAAAGCAUGAGUGGAGUGUUUUAUUAUUUUUUAAUAAGUUUGAUAUUUUUUUUCUAGAAAUAUGUAAAAUUAUCAUUUAUAAAAGAGAAAAUAUUAUUUUAAUAUUUGUUUAGCACUUUAAUAUGCAAAAUAAAUAUAAAAAAUUUAAAAUAAUAUUUUUUAAUAUUUAGCUUUUCAUUUAAGACACCCAUGGGAGAUGCUCUAAUGUGUGAAGGCAAACGUUAGCUCUAAUCAAAUAAAUUUAGCAGUGAAUUAAGAGCAAAGUACAUACACAUAUAUAUAUAUAUACACACACACACACAUAAAUAUAUAUAUAUAUAUAUAUAUAUAUAUAGGGCCAUCUGCACAUGAAGAUGAAGCAAUGUUGGGAUCUCAUAAACCGAGGCAGAAGAUCUUUAAACAAGUACGAAACUGAAAGUAAAUUUCAGUAAUUAGGGCAAUAUCUGCCUGCAAACAUCACGAGAGAGCUACAGAGAGAGAUCUCUUCUUUAAUCAAAAGGAAAUGACAGAAACACAACAAUAGAUGAACAUUGCAUUCAAUUUCUAAAUUGCUCCAUUCAGCUAAUUCAUUUGUUCAUGCCAGUUGCCUUCUUAAUUCCGUCCACAGUUCCCUGUGCCGUAGACAUCACCUGUUGACCAGCCUACACCAAGAGCAAGUAUCAUAAUUAAAUUACACAUCUGUUCGUUAUAUUCUUGAGCACAAGCUACUGUAGCGGUGAGGAUGAAUUCUCUAGGAAAAAAAACACAGCAAAUGAGAUUGAAGGAAAGUAUUUGAAUACCCCUUGCACUGAUUCCUUUGCAUAUUGAGCAGCAUUACCAGCUUUCUCCAUCAUGGUAGGACUGGUCUUCUCCUGAAACAAACAAAAUCCAUGCCUUAUCAUGUAUUGGAAGAGAAAUAUCGUUGUGUUCUUAAGCACAAGCUACUGUAGAGGUGAGGAUGAAUUCUCUUAAAAAAAAACAUAGACAUGAGAUUGAAGGAGAGUAUUUGAAUACCCCUAGCACUGAUUCCUUUGCAGAUUGAGCAGCAUUACCAGCUUUUUCCACCAAGG
rnacentral:lncRNA from 1 species